rnacentral:misc_RNA from 1 species
UUGUGAGUUACUUACCGUACUC